rnacentral:lncRNA from 1 species
UCUGAACUCCCAUGCAUCUGGGCCUUGCCGGAAACGAGCUGGCUCACUGAUCAU